rnacentral:rRNA from 1 species
UACGAAGGACCCAAGCGUUAUCCGGAUUUAUUGGGUUUAAAGGGUGCGUAGGCGGAUUAAUAAGUCAGUGGUGAAAGCCCAUCGCUUAACGAUGGAAUUGCCAUUGAUACUGUUAGUCUUGAGUAUGGUUGAGGUGGGCGGAAUGUGUCAUGUAGCGGUGAAAUGCUUAGAUAUGACACAGAACACCAAUUGCGAAGGCAGCUCGCUAAACCAUAACUGACGCUGAGGCACGAAAGCGUGGGGAGCAAACAGG